AACGCACCUUGCGCUCCCUGGUAUUCCUAGGAGCAUGCCUGUUUGAGUGUCGUGAACCUAUCAACCCCGUAAGGAUUUUUGAUCUCAACGGUGGCUUGGACUUGGGGGCUUGCUGGCCAGUUACAUUUGGUCGGCUCUCCUUGAAUGCAUUAGCUUAGACUUGUUCUGUGGGCUACUUGGUGUGAUAACUAUCUACGCUUUGUAUUGUCUGUGGAAUAUUUAUGGGUCUAGCUUCUAAUCGUCCUCUGGACAAUCACUAUACGUUUUGACCUCAAAUCAGGUAGGACUACCCGCUGAACUUAA
rnacentral:rRNA from 1 species